rnacentral:misc_RNA from 1 species
GGAUGGACAAGAACACCGCGUCUUCAAAGUUGGGCAACAAGAGGGCUGUCGGGAAACCUGCAAACUUGGAGAAAAUUGAGCAUGAACUCAGUUAUUUGAGAAGGAACUCAACUGGCAAUUUAGGUAUUGAAAUGGGUGACUCCAAGGUCUUGCCACGUUAUAUGAGUGUUCCAACAGGUUCUUCUGACGAUGGUAAAGAUGGUGCGGAACUCAACUGUAAAACAAAGGUGAGGACUCACAUGUCCAAAACAUCUGUAACUUCAUCAG